UUUCCCUUUGUAAAUGCAACUAGGCUUUCCCUUUCACUUUCCCUCCCCAAAAAACCAUUCCGUUCUUCGAGUAGAAUAUAUUCCCCGCGCAUUUCAUACACUUCACAGAGAGCGAGAGAGAGAGAGAGAGAGAGAGAUCUGCAAUGGAGGCGAGCUUGGUUGUUGCAGAGGUUAUGGAGGCUAAAGGGGGAGCUCAGAACAAGAUCAACGACGAGAAGCUCACUGUUGCUGUUGUUGGUAAUGGCGGUGCGAGCAAGAUUGCUUCUGGUGAAUCGAAGAAGAAGAAGAACAAGAAUCGGAUUCAUGUCUCCAACAAUAAGAAACUGUUCUACUUCUACAUCAAUCAUGCAAAGCUAUUUCAUACAGCUAUUCCUACUGUGAUCACAAUUUCUGAGUUUCUGAAGCGUGAUGGACUAGCAAUCGAAAAGAAGAUCAGCAUAUCAACUGUUAGCUCCAGGAUGACAAUAAUGGCCAAAUGAUUGGGAAGAAGUCUCAGAUUGAAAUUGCACUGGAAUUAGCUGCAAAAGCGACCAAGACAUUUGUUGAACAACCAUUAAAGAAAGCUGGAGCACCUCCUACAGUGCUCUUGGUAUGAUUCAGGUUGCUUGUUGCAAAUAAACCAUCUAUUUCAAUCAAUUGCUCUCUACUCACAACUUUUCUCUACAACUUUAUCUGCUGAAGUUGGGUGCAAAGGCGACAACGAUAUCUGGUCUUUUAGGAACUGGAGACAUUAUGCUGACAUGUUUUGUGAGUUGUCGUUGCAGUAAAACCGAAGGAGAUAGUUCUGAAUGUUAGGGGGAGCUGCUAAGGUCAUUCUUUUGGCAAUUUCAAGCCGUGAAUACAGGCCAAAAAUAUAAUUGAACAACUCUUUAUCUUAUAUUUACUGAAUGAUUCAAUAUGAAAAUGUCAAAUUUCUAAUUC